CCCUUAGAUGAUUUGGGCUGCACGCGCGCUACACUGACCCUAACAAUGAGCAACUGUCUGGCCUGAGAUGGCUGGGUAGCCUUUUCAACCCAUGUCAUGAUUGGGCUAGAUUUUUGUAAGUCUUGAUCUCUAACGAGGAAUCCCUAGUAUGCGUGAAUCAUCAAUCCAUGCAGAUUAUGUCCCUGCCCUUUGUACACACCGCCCGUCGCUCCUACUGAUUGGGUGAUCCGGUGAGCUGUUCGGCCAUAGCAAUGUUUCUUGAGCAGGGCAAUGAAUGUGUCGCAAACCUUGCCACUUAGAGGAAGGAGAAGUCGUAACA
rnacentral:rRNA from 1 species